rnacentral:rRNA from 1 species
UACAGAGGGGGCAAGCGUUAUCCGGAUUCACUGGGUUUAAAGGGUGCGUAGGCGGGCAGGUAAGUCAGUGGUGAAAUCUCCGGGCUUAACCCGGAAAGGUCAGCCGAUACUGCGGGGCUAGAGUGCAGAAGGGGCAACUGGAAUUCUCGGUGUAGCGGUGAAAUGCGUAGAUAUCGAGAGGAACACCUGCGGCGAAGGCGGGUUGCUGGGCUGACACUGACGCUGAAGCGCGAAAGCUAGGGGAGCGAACGGG